AACGGCCCACCAAAGCGACGAUCAGUAGCCGACCUGAGAGGGCGACCGGCCACAUUGGGACUGAGACACGGCCCAAACUCCUACGGGAGGCAGCAGUGGGGGAUAUUGCACAAUGGGCGAAAGCCUGAUGCAGCGACGCCGCGUGAGGGAAGACGGUCUUCGGAUUGUAAACUUCUGUUCUUAGUGAAGAUAGUGACGGUAGCUAAGGAGCAAGCCACGGCUAACUAC
rnacentral:rRNA from 1 species